rnacentral:lncRNA from 1 species
AAAAAACAAAAAGAGCUACACCAUGUAUCCUACUCUCUAGUGAGUCAUCCUAAUUCACAGAAAGCUAGUAGAAUGUCGUAGACUCUGGGGCUGGAGUUCUCUCUUGUCCAGCAAGAGCGCGGACGCGGGAUUAAAAUGCAAGAGAGGCUGAUGUCCAGGAGGAGACAAGAGCCCCAGAGCAGGCCUUCAUGGACGUAUUGCCUACUUUGCCUGACAACGGGAAACCGCUGGAAUUUACCGGCCUUAUGAGCUUCCUUCACGUACUUUUGCAUUGGGGAAGAGAUUGUAAUCUGGUGCCUUUCUCUUGGAGCUCUUUAGUCGCUCCACGGCGUCCUGCAGUCCUUGAGUCGCACCGCCUCCUGGCCAUGUCGGCCUGUAGUGCUCUGGGUUCCAAUCCCGCCGGCGUCACCAUCUGUCAUAGACUCUGGGUCUGGAGUUCUCUCUUGUCCAGCAAGAGCGCGGACGCGGGAUUAAAAUGCAAGAGAGGCUGAUGUCCAGGAGGAGACAAGAGCCCCAGGUAAGGGUCCUUGCUCCGUUUUUAUUAGGAUCAGAGGGCCGGCAAGCAUGAUGGACGUGCACAAGGAGACAAUGAAAUCGUGAUCAUUAACUCACGGGUGUGGGGGAGAGGGGGUUUUGAAGAUACGCGGUGUCAGGGGUUUGGGUCGAUACAAAACAAAAUCCUGGCGCCGGGAGGAUGGUUGUUUACAGCAGACAUGAGACACCACAUCUGUUUGUCUAAACUUGCCUAGGGGACAAGAAAGGCAGAGCAUGCUACCUCAGGGUCAACAAGGCAGCUUUCUUUUGCUAAUUAGCUCUGCUCUGGGCAACUUCGCCCUGCCAUGGACUGCAGCCCUCUGUGUUCCUGUUUUUGUCCUUCCUUCCUGUGAAAGCGGCUUUCUGCUAUUGUACUAAGUUGGGAGAUGCUUCCGCCCUGAAUGCCUAAUCUUGUUUACCUCAUCUUGGAUGCUUUCAUCCUGAGAUUUCCAAUUCCUAUGCCUUUGCCCUGUUUACCUAAUCUUAUUUACCUAAUCUUGGAUGCGUUCAUCCUGGGACGUUCUAUGUCUUUACGCCUCGUUAACCCAUCGGCGCAAGCUCAGGGAAUUCCUAAAUGGACUCCCCACAGUAGAAUAUCUAAGGAAAUGGAGAGCACUUAUGCCUUGUUCUCCAGAAGCAGACCCUCCCUAACGUGAGGGCUCAAAUUUGUGCCCUCAAAAUUUGAUUUCUUUAAAACGUGUUCCGGGGCGCCUGGGUGGCGCAGUCGGUUAAGCGUCCGACUUCAGCCAGGUCACGAUCUCGCGGUCCGUGAGUUCGAGCCCCGCGUCGGGCUCCGGGCUGAUGGCUCGGAGCCUGGAGCCUGUUUCCGAUUCUGUGUCUCCCUCUCUCUCUGCCCCUCCCCCGUUCAUGCUCUGUCUCUCUCUGUCCCAAAAAUAAAUAAACGUUGAAAAAAAAUUAAAAAAAAAAU